rnacentral:tRNA from 1 species
GGCUUCGAAACUCAGGUGGUAGAGCGUGCGCUAUACGAAAGCGUGGCCGGCGCCCAUAUGUGGGUUCGAAUCCCACUGAGGCUA